AUGCAUUGGUCGUUGAUGCAAUUUUAGAUAUGGAGCAAUUUGCUCUGCCAUGUUAGUUUCUUGACAAAAUUAGGAAUUGGGUUUGAGGCUAUGGGCUAUCUGAAAAGCUAGAUACAGUAUUUUCCUACUUGUGUUUAUCAUGUAUAGGGGCACUGGUUGUUUCCUACUUUGUUGCAAAUUUUAAAAUGACAUGUAUUCGGAUAUCAUUAGUUUUACUUUCUCAUUUUAACUAUGUGCAGUACUACUACUUACAUUCAGCCAGGAUAGCCUUAAAAUUUAAUAAUAUGAUCAACUUGGGAGGAGGCUGAUUGUUCAUUCAAUGGAUUUGUGUUGAUGUGUUUCUGUUGCGGGCAUGACAAUGUGGUCAGUGUAGUGGAUGAUCUUCUAUCACUGGUAGGUGAUAAUAGUUCGGGACACUACUUUACCUCCACACAAGAUUUUGAUCUUCCGAAUAAAUUAGGGGAGGUAGUUCAGUGCUAUGUGUGCUUGUGUAUUAUGUCUGGUCCAGUUCUGAUAAGAUUACAUACUUUUUCUUAGCUUACAAUUCCAAGAAAAAAUAGUGUUUGUGUGUGAUUAAGCGACUUGCUUUCAUUCCAUUCCAUAUUCUUAUACCUUCUUUUUAUAGUUACAUACUCUUACCUUGGCCUCAUGCUUGAACUCUGCGGAGGACGAAGAACACGGCAAAGAAGUUUAGAUGAUCUGUAGCUCCUAGGUUCUCGUUGAGAAUUGCUGAUUUUUUUUAAUAUUUUGUUUGGUUUUUGUUACCCUGGAGUCUUGAAGGUUAGAGCAAUUAUGACCCUGGAGGUUCAGAGGCCACACAUUGGCUCAGGGCCUUCAUAGUGUGCAUUGUGCCCACGAAGGAUUGGGGCAUUGGAAAAAUCAAUUACUGGAUUUUCCAAAGGGCAGUUCUGAAACGUUACAUGGAGAGUGAUGCUCGGAGUAGAUAGUUUCAUAUUUAUUUUGCAAGGAACACAAUGAGUUCAACAAGAGGAGGAAAGUAACAGUCUACAUCUCAAAUGGUUUCAGUAAAGUUGUAGGUUGCCCUUGCACAAGGCUUGACAAGGCCGAGCUGAACGUCGAACAAGACCAGCGCAUGUGACAAUGCACACCGUUGAGGAACUCGGGAACGAGUGGGUGCACAUGCAUGGCCUACCCCUUCGAUAGGUGGCGGCACGACCGCACAAUAGUAGGUGUUUGAAGUAAAACUUCUGUAGAUUUCAGAUUGAAUUCCAUAUACAUUGAUUGCUCUAGGAAGUAGUAGGUGUUUGAAGUAUUGUUGCUGCCUUAAAUUAAAUCCACUGUAAUUUUUGGGUUCAUUCAACACAUCUCAUCCCUGUUUUUACAAUCUUGCCUCAGUUGCCUUGCACUAAAUAUGUUUAAUCAUCUUCUGGGAGAGUGUGCAUGCCAACAGGUUGGCAUUAACAAAUGAGGAUGUGUGUCUUUGUUAAUAUGUUUUGUUCAGUUUCA